UACGGAGGGGGCGAGCGUUAUUCGGAAUUAUUGGGCGUAAAGGGCGCGUAGGCGGCUUGACAAGUCAAAGGUGAAAUCCCUCGGCUCAACUGAGGAACUGCCUUUGAAACUGUCAGGCUUGAGGCCGGGAGGGGGUAGCGGAAUUCCCAAUGUAGCGGUGAAAUGCGUAGAUAUUGGGAGGAACACCAGUGGCGAAGGCGGCUACCUGGACCGGUUCUGACGCUGAUGCGCGAAAGCGUGGGGAGCAAACAGG
rnacentral:rRNA from 1 species